UACCGUCAGCUCUCUAACCCACAUGUCAGCUCAGAUCAAGUCCCCAAAUGACUGGAUACCAUUUUCAAGUCGUUCUGUAUCUGAGUCAGCCACUCUAGAAGAAGCAAGACCCUCAGUUGAAGCAGAAGAUGAGACAAAAGUAGGGGGGGUGAAGGGGCAGUACCACCAGAGCACCCAGACUGUUUUGGAACUUUUAAGCUCAAAUUGCAGUUAAGAGUCAAAAUACUGAGAGGAUGGGGAGCAUGGAAACAGUCUGGGGGAGGUAAAGGAGAGACUGGAGGGUACUGACUGAGGUACACUUGAGAUGUGUGGGGUCCCAGAUAACCCUGAGCCAUUGAGAGUUGGUAUAUGACUCAUCACUUGACAUUUCUGAUAAAGGUGUAAAAUGUGACUGCGAGAUAGCUGUAACCGUCACACACACACACACACACACAGUCUCUCACUCAGGGGUCUGCUCUCGGAUUUGUUUCUCUCCUUCAGCUCCACACAGGAUGGGAGUCUACUGGACAGCUGUUCUCCUCUGCCAUCUUCUAGCCUCUUUAGUCCACUCACUGACAUGCAAUGAACGAAAACAGUACAAGUGGCCAGCCAGCUCUCCCACAAGGUGCUGCCAGAAAUGCGAACCAGGUGAGUUCAUGGAAAAAAGAUGCCAGGAUGGGUCCAUAGAAACUAAAUGCCAGGAGUGCAGCCCAGAUAUGUAUACAGAUGUUCCCAAUUUCCUCGCCCAAUGCAAGAUGUGCAAACCUUGCAGCAAAAACCAGGUGCAGAAGGCAGCUUGUUCGCGACUGCAGAACACUGUGUGUGACUGCAAGCAAGGAUAUAAAUGCACAGAUGCUGAAUGUUCAGAGUGUGAAAAGGAGGACCAUGACCAUGGCCAAGACCAAGUAACCACUACACAACAGCCCACAACUACAGAACGUAGAAAGACAACUGUCAACAAAGA